GUUUUGCAAUAGCAGGCAGCACAGCGCAGGAGCUCUCAGACUACCUCAGAUGCCAAGAGCCUGGUUUGAAUACAAGCCUUGCCAUUGUGUGACUUUGGGUAAGUUUCUUAACCUUUCUGUGCCUUGGGUUCUUCAUCUGUAAAAUGGGAAUGAAAAUUUUACCACCCAUAGGGCUGUUAUGAGACUCAAAUAAGGAGGUAGUGAGAACACACUUAAAGCAGUACCUUCUGCAGAAGUCUAGUUCUGAGACAUCUGAAAGAAGCAAGGAGGAGCAACUGGGAAAAUGGGGUGAUUCUGUAGACCAAAAGGUUGAGGAGUGUUGCACCUUUCUUACUCUUAGGUAUUUACAAUACACUGUAACAAAUUAAAUUCAAAUUCCUACUUUACAUAAUAGAAUUUAUUUUGUGUAAUUUUCUCUUUCUCCAAACUUAUUUGAGGGUAGCAACCCACUUCACCUAACACUUCUGAAUGUCCUUUAGUGUAGGGGGUAUCUGGCACUCAGGAACCCCUUCUUCCCUCACAUGAACCCUGGGGAGCAACCAAGGGGGACUUCAGAAGGCUCCAAUCCUACUACAUAUUUUUGCUCAAUGUUUCUCAAAAGUCUAGUGGAUUUUUUCCAUUGGUGAUUUGCAUGCAGGUCCCAUGAUUACACUUUGAAGUUGAUGAGUAAUAUUUAGGAGUAGAAGUCUUUCCACUUCUAGUUCCUCACAUUAGUAGGUUAUGUGGGCAAGUUAAUUAACCUAGCUGGUUCAAGUCUUGCUUUCCACUAGAAAGAGAUCUAUGCAUAAAAUUAAUAAUUACUACAUCCUUUCAAAUACAAGCCAAUUGCACUUUACUAGAAAAAAAUCAUACCCAAGCCCUGCUCCAAAAAGUCAUGAGAAUAAUUAACAAAGCCAACAGUAAGACAUAUUUACUCACAAUUAGAAACUGAAGGACUGAAUAAGUCAUUCUGCCUGCAUGGUUAUAUAUUUUCCCACCGAUCUGUGAAUCUGUGAAAUAUAGCGGUCCAAGAGGGUUUAGCUAAAACCAGGAGACUGGAUGUUAAGGUCGUGUGUGACACAGGCACAUGUGAAAGAUGGCCAUGUCUGGAAGAGAACAUAAUUUCUACUUUACCUAGGGCAGAGUGCUCACAAGAAAAUACAACGUGAUUAACCAGGAAAGAUUGAACCAGGCCUGACCCUUCUGAGGCAGAUUUCAUGGAAUGGUAUAUAUAUAUAUUUUUAAUAGAGAUUGCCAAUAUUUUGUCUUGCCAAAUAAAAAUUAAAAUAAGGAAAAGUUACUAUCCACUAUCACCACAUUUCAGUAAAGAAAAGAGACAUUUUACCAACAUAAAAAUAAAACAGACUUAAUUUUGGAAUAAAAGACUGUUCUUAAAAUUGAAUAAAUGUAGUGAUGUGAAAAACCUCACUGCCUUGCCCUUUCUUUUUCAUUUCCUCAUGCAUCAGUGAAAAUGCUAUCCAAUACUGGCGCCACUCCAAGGAAUAGUAUAUGGGAAUGACUGCUUUAGCAAGGUGUCUCCUUCUGGCUCCUUCUUGUGACCUGGGGCAAAUUACUCUGAGGUUCAGUUAUCAUCCAUGAAAUGGAAAUAAUGUGUGCUUUCCUGGCCUACCUUACAGGACUGUGGUCAAAUGAGACACGGGACAGGGUAACAUACACAAUAUGACUCUAGAAAAGGUGAAGAAUCAUACAACGGCCCAGGACUAUUAUUUUAUCUCCACUUAAGUUAUACACUUAUUCCCAAAUUCCUGGGAUUAGAUGAUUUCAUGAUAAAAUUGUUUCAGAGAAACAGCGAAUGCCAGAUGCUCACACAUUUUCCCUGUUAAGAAAAUAAAAUAUAAAUUGAUAGUUUAUCAUGUAGAAUAGGAAGUUGGAUCUACAUUUAAGGAUCACCAUUAGAAACUCGUUCAGUACUGACAGAUAUUUGAUCCAGUUCAUCCUUUGGUUCUGGGCAGAUGCCACCUAAACCAAGUCACACAAGUGGGAGUCUUUGCCAUUUUUAAAGAUUCCAAAAGAAAUUUUACAGACUUAAGACUCAGUGUCUCAUAGACAACAUGUUUCAUUUAUCUCUGUAACCACAGUACUAGAAACAAUACUGGAAACAAAAUAGAGGCUCAAUGAAUACUGAAGAAAUGAAUAAACCAAGGAUCUGGUCUCUGGCAAACCAUUUUUCAGUUUAUUGCCUUACUGAAAUCAUCAGUAAACUGGGAAGAAAACUAUCCUAAGUCCUGGAGAAGUUACAAAUAUUUAAUUUUUAUUAUAUAUAUGAUGGGAAUAUAAACUGGUAUAGUACAGCCACUUUGGAAAAAACAGUUUGACAGUUCCUCAAAAUGUUAAACAAAACAAAACAAAACAAAAAACAUAGAAUUAUCAAAUAACUCAGCAGUUUCAAUACUAGGUAUAUACCUAGAGAAUUGAAAACAUAUGUUCACGUAAAAACGUGUACCCAAAUGUUCAUAGCAGCAUUAUUCAUAAUAGCCAAAAA
rnacentral:lncRNA from 1 species